rfam:Monodelphis domestica cont3.047691, whole genome shotgun sequence.
GGUGUGUAUAUAUGAAGAUUUGCAGCCUAAAUUCCAUCCAAAGAUCUUCAGUAUUUAAAUGUCAACAUCGAUUUAUUUAUUUAUUGCUGAGCUGACCGUAACUGACUUAAUAACAAAUCUAAUCAUGUUUGCUCCGGGAAAGAAAUAUUCUCAUUAUGUAUUUUCACCAAAUGAUGGCUCACCAUUCCAUUUGAAUACCGGCCAUAAAUAUCAAUAAUACGCAGUAAUUACU